GCCUGCUAAGACUUUUAUUUAGCUUGACUAAAUGGAUAGCGCCACAGUAAAAAAGUAUUGUGGUAGGCAGUCACUGAAUACUUAAGUGCAGGUGAUAGACUGCAUGCUACCCUCUUCCCAGUCCCCAACAGAGUUGAAAGCAGGAAUACUCAGCAUUCCACUAAUUUAUAGUGAUGUUUUUAUUAAACCAUAAAAGCCACAGAUGACAGUGUUUAAAUGCCAGUUGGUAU